rnacentral:lncRNA from 1 species
UUAGCAUGUUUGUUAAGUACUGGGAAUGCUUGAUGUCCCCUCGUCUUUGUCUUAAUUAGUUUUAGAAAAACUUAUUAAUAAUAGAUUCUGAAACAAAGUUAUUGACCUUUUGAUUACUCAGAGAAAGUUUGUGUUCUACGGUUAUGAAUUAUGUAGUCUGUUUUAGUUUAUUCUUACUUAACUAGGCGGGAAAACCUUCUUCGUGCAUCAUUGCCUGUGUUUUACCUUUUUGUCAUUGCCUGUGUUUUACCUUUUUGUCAUUGCCAUUGGUUCUUCCCUUUCAUUUUGUUCAGUCUGAUAUCCAGCUGACUUGGUCAUUGUUAAUUGUUAUGCUACUGAUUGGAUUUUGCUGUAGUUUCCCACAAUUAUG